rnacentral:lncRNA from 1 species
GAGGAAGAGGAAAGACCCAAGACCUAAGACCUUAGUCCAAGACCCGCAAAAGUUUAGAAGUUCAAAGACUACACCCGGGGUACAACGACUUUGAGGAGGUGACGGGGAGUUACGCUCCAAGACGAGUCUUGUAAGUUUACAUUUAUAGUGAGGAGGUAACGAGAAGUUACGCUCCAAGAUAUAUUUGUAAAGGCUUCUCCGCCUACUGUAAAGGAGUAUCUUUAU